ACGUAGGGUGCGAGCGUUGUCCGGAAUUAUUGGGCGUAAAGAGCGUGUAGGCGGCUAGAUAGGUCCGUUGUGAAAACUCGAGGCUCAACCUCGAGACGCCGGUGGAAACCAUCUAGCUAGAGUCCGGAAGAGGAGAGUGGAAUUCCUGGUGUAGCGGUGAAAUGCGCAGAUAUCAGGAAGAACACCCGUGGCGAAGGCGGCUCUCUGGUACGUGACUGACGCUGAGACGCGAAAGCGUGGGGAGCGAACAGGA
rnacentral:rRNA from 1 species